AGAACGAACGCUGGCGGCAUGCCUAAUACAUGCAAGUCGAACGAACUCUUCGGAGUUAGUGGCGCACGGGUGCGUAACGCGUGGGAAUCUGCCCCUUGGUUCGGAAUAACAGUUGGAAACGACUGCUAAUACCGGAUGAUGACGAAAGUCCAAAGAUUUAUCGCCAAGGGAUGAGCCCGCGUAGGAUUAGCUAGUUGGUGAGGUAAAGGCUCACCAAGGCAACGAUCCUUAGCUGGUCUGAGAGGAUGAUCAGCCACACUGGGACUGAGACACGGCCCAGACUCCGU
rnacentral:rRNA from 1 species